rnacentral:rRNA from 1 species
UUGCUAGUUACCAUCAUUCAUUGGGGACGUCUAGCGAGACUGCCAGUGAUAAACUAGGAGGAAGGUGGGGAGUGACGUCAAAUCAUCAUGCCCCUUAUGACCUGGGCUACAAACGUGAUACAAUGGCUGAAACAAAGGGCAGCGAAGCAGUGAUGUGGAGCGAAACCCAAAAAAGCAGUCUCAGUUCGGAUUGAAGUCUGCAACUCGACUUCAUGAAGUCGGAAUCGCUAGUAAUCGCGGAUCAGAACGCCGCGGUGAAUACGUUCUCGGGGUUU